rnacentral:rRNA from 1 species
CCUACGGGUGGCAGCAGUGGGGAAUAUUGCACAAUGGGGGGAACCCUGAUGCAGCAACGCCGCGUGGGUGAAGAAGUACUUCGGUAUGUAAAGCCCUGUCAGCAGGGAAGAAAAUGACGGUACCUGACCAAGAAGCCCCGGCUAACUACGUGCCAGCAGCCGCGGUAAUACGUAGGGGGCAAGCGUUAUCCGGAUUUACUGGGUGUAAAGGGAGCGUAGACGGCAGCGCAAGUCUGGAGUGAAAUGCCGGGGCCCAACCCCGGAACUGCUUUGGAAACUGUGCAGCUGGAGUGCAGGAGAGGUAAGCGGAAUUCCUAGUGUAGCGGUGAAAUGCGUAGAUAUUAGGAGGAACACCAGUGGCGAAGGCGGCUUACUGGACUGUAACUGACGUUGAGGCUCGAAAGCGUGGGGAGCAAACAGGAUUAGAUACCCGGGUAGUC